GGUAAAAUGGCUGAGAAUUUUAAAGUGAUAGAUUGUAAAUCUAUUAAGGAGUGUUAACUCUUUUACCA
rnacentral:tRNA from 1 species